UGCGGAGGGAUACAGGCGGCAAGGCUGGAGUAUUUUAUUACCCUUGUCUUUUGCGCACUUGUUGUUUCCUGGGCGGGUUCGCCCGCCUCCAGGACCACAUGAUAAACCUUUUUUAUGCAGUUGCAAUCAGCGUCAGUACAACAAAUGUAAAUCAUUUACAACUUUCAACAACGGAUCUCUUGGUUCUGGCAUCGAUGAAGAACGCAGCGAAAUGCGAUACGUAGUGUGAAUUGCAGAAUUCAGUGAAUCAUCGAAUCUUUGAACGCACAUUGCGCCCUUUGGUAUUCCAAAGGGCAUGCCUGUUCGAGCGUCAUUUGUACCCUCAAGCUUUGCUUGGUGUUGGGCGUUUUUUGUCUUUGGUUUUGUCCAAAGACUCGCCUUAAAACGAUUGGCAGCCGGCCUACUGGUUUCGCAGCGCAGCACAUUUUUGCGCUUGCAAUCAGCAAAAGAGGACGGCACUCCAUCAAGACUCUAUAUCACUUUUGACCUCGGAUCAGGUAGGGAUACCC
rnacentral:rRNA from 1 species